GAUGAAGAACGUAGCAAAAUGCGAUACUUGGUGUGAAUUGCAGAAUCCCGUGAACCAUCGAGUUUUUGAACGCAAGUUGCGCCCGAAGCCUUUUGGCCGAGGGCACGUCUGCCUGGGCGUCACGCAUCGCGUCGCCCCCCACAAUUCUCCGUAAAGGGAACGUGUGUUUUGGGGGCGGAUAUUGGUCUCCCGUGCUCAUGGCGUGGUUGGCCGAAAUAGGAGUCCUUUCGAUGGACGCACGAACUAGUGGUUGUCGUAAAAACCCUCGUCUUUUGUUUCGUGCUGUUGCUCGCAAGGUAAACUCUUUAAAAACCCCAAUGUGUCGUCUCUUGACGACGCUUCGACCGCGACCCCAGGUCAGGCGGGACUACCCGCUGAGUUUAAGCAUAUCAAUAAGCGGAGGA
rnacentral:misc_RNA from 1 species